rnacentral:tRNA from 7 species
UGCGGGGUAGAGCAGUUUGGUAGCUCGCAAGGCUCAUAACCUUGAGGUCACGGGUUCAAAUCCUGUCUCCGCAA